rnacentral:rRNA from 1 species
UACGUAGGCAGCGAGCGUUGUUCGGAGUUACUGGGCGUAAAGAGUGCGUAGGCGGUGCUCCAAGUCUGGUGUGAAAUCUCCCGGCUUAACCGGGAGGGUGCGCCGGAACUGGGGUGCUGGAGUGUGGGAGAGGUAAGCGGAAUUCCCGGUGUAGCGGUGAAAUGCGCAGAGAUCAGGAGGAACACCCGUAGCGAAGGCAGCUCGCUGGGACGUUACUGACGCUGAGACGCGAAAGCGUGGGGAGCAAACAGG